rnacentral:rRNA from 1 species
AUUGAACGCUGGCGGCAUGCCUUACACAUGCAAGUCGAACGGUAACAGGUCUUCGGAUGCUGACGAGUGGCGAACGGGUGAGUAAUACAUCGGAACGUGCCUAGUAGUGGGGGAUAACUACUCGAAAGAGUGGCUAAUACCGCAUGAGAUCUACGGAUGAAAGCAGGGGAUCGCAAGACCUUGUGCUACUAGAGCGGCCGAUGGCAGAUUAGGUAGUUGGUGGGAUAAAAGCUUACCAAGCCGACGAUCUGUAGCUGGUCUGGGAGGACGAUCAGCCACACUGGGACUGAGACACGGCCCAGACUCCUACGGGAGGCAGCAGUGGGGAAUUUUGGACAAUGGGCGAAAGCCCGAUCCAGCAAUGCCGCGUGCAGGAUGAAGGCCUUCGGGCUGUAAACUGCUUUUGUACGGAACGAAAAGCCCCGGGUUAAUACCCUGGGGUCAUGACGGUACCGUAAGAAUAAGCACCGGCUAACUACGUGCCAGCCGCCGCCGUAA